UCUGNUCUGUCACUGACGCUGAGGCUCGAAAGCGUGGGUAGCGAACAGGAUUAGAUACCCUGGUAGUCCACGCCGUAAACGAUGAGUGCUAGGUGUUAGGCCCUUUCCGGGGCUUAGUGCCGGAGCUAACGCAAUAAGCACUCCGCCUGGGGAGUACGACCGCAAGGUUGAAACUCAAAGGAAUUGACGGGGGCCCGCACAAGCGGUGGAGCAUGUGGUUUAAUUCGAAGCAACGCGAAGAACCUUACCAGGUCUUGACAUCCCGAUGCUAUUCUUAGAGAUAGGAAGUUACUUCGGUACAUCGGAGACAGGUGGUGCAUGGUUGUCGUCAGCUCGUGUCGUGAGAUGUUGGGUUAAGUCCCGCAACGAGCGCAACCCUUAUUGUUAGUUGCCAUCAUUAAGUUGGGCACUCUAGCGAGACUGCCGGUAAUAAACCGGAGGAAGGUGGGGAUGACGUCAAAUCAUCAUGCCCCUUAUGACCUGGGCUACACACGUGCUACAAUGGUCGGUACAACGAGUUGCGAGCCGGUGACGGCAAGCUAAUCUCUGAAAGCCGAUCUCAGUUCGGAUUGGAGGCUGCAACUCGCCUCCAUGAAGUCGGAAUCGCUAGUAAUCGCGGAUCAGCACGCCGCGGUGAAUACGUUCCCGGGCCUUGUACAC
rnacentral:rRNA from 1 species